AAUAGCCUAACGGCUGAACCAGCAACUUGAUGGAAUGUAUAGCGAAAGCUAAUUGUCAAUACCGAUUUAUUCGGCUAAAGUUCUGGGUAGAGUUUUGAUGAUGACAAUACCUCUAUAUGUCUUGACCAAAUUCUGUGCCAGCAGUCGCGGCAAUACAAAGAAGACUUGUGUUAUUCAUGUUUAGUCGGUUUAAAGGGUAACUAGACGGUAAAUCAAGCCAACUAAUUUAUUGAGUUUAAUAUAAGGGAGCAUUAAAGUACUGAUGUGUAGAGAUGAAAUUCGUUGAUACCUAUGGCACAGGUUUAGGCGAAAGCAUCUCCUUAUGUAAAAACUGCGUUGAAGGACGAAGGAGA
rnacentral:rRNA from 1 species